UCAGGCCUAACACAUGCAAGUCGAGCGAGACCUUCGGGUCUAGCGGCGGACGGGUGAGUAACGCGUGGGAACGUGCCCUUUGGUUCGGAAUAGCCCCGGGAAACUGGGAGUAAUACCGGAUGAGCCCUACGGGGGAAAGAUUUAUCGCCGAAGGAUCGGCCCGCGUUGGAUUAGGUAGUUGGUGGGGUAAUGGCCUACCAAGCCGACGAUCCAUAGCUGGUUUGAGAGGAUGAUCAGCCACACUGGGACUGAGACACGGCCCAGACUCCUACGGGAGGCAGCAGUGGGGAAUCUUAGACAAGGGGGGAAACCCUGAUCUAGCCAUGCCGCGUGAGUGAAAGAGGCCUUAGGGUUGUAAAGCUCUUUCAGUGGGGAAGAUAA
rnacentral:rRNA from 1 species